rnacentral:rRNA from 1 species
GCGAACGCUGGCGGCAUGCCUAACACCUGCCAAUCGCACCGGACGGCCUCGGCCGGUCAGUGGCGGACGGGUGAGGAACGCGUAGGGAUCUGUCCUCUGGUGGGGGCUAACCGCGGGAAACUGCGGCUGAGACCGCAUGGGGCGCCGGUGAGAGAGCCGGUGUCCAAGGCGCGCAUCGCGAGGUGUGUGUCGUCGGGGGGUGAGACUGCGUCCGAUUAGCUGGUUGGCGGGGUAGUGGCCCACCAAGGCGUCGAUGGGUAGCUGGUCUGAGAGGGUGAUCGGCCACACUGGGACUGAGACACGGCCCAGACUCCUACGGGAGGCAGCAGUGGGGAAUAUUGGACAAUGGGCGCAAGCCUGAUCCAGCAAUGCCGGGUGGGUGAAGAAGGUCUUCGGAUUGUAAAGUCCUUUCGGCGGGGACGAUGGUGACGGUACCCGCAGAAGAAGCCCCGGCUAACUUCGUG